ACACUCAUUAUGACGUUAAGCAUGAGAGUAUGCUACUACAGCAAAAUCAGGGUCCAUGACAGCCCUGCAGCGCUAGUUCAACCCACACCACAUGAAUGGCCACAGCACAUAGUGCCCCUGUAAAGCUAUACUAGUGGCGAUGGAGGAUUAAAAGGUUGAGCUCAGACCACAAACACUACUUUCUGUUCACCUCCUGCCCCUGCAACAGGGCCUUCCCCUGAUCUGAGCUAAUCCAACAGGCUAAUCUUGCCACUAGCUUGAGAGCCACAGGAAUCAUUCUACUCUCCCUCAAUGGGAGGAAUAGUCCCAGUGUUCUAACCCAGCUGCAGUCCCAAAACGGGAUACAUGUGAUAGGACCAUGUGCACCACUACAAUGGUCCUCACCACUAUUGCUGUCAUCCUAUACAGAAAGUUCUCAAACCGAGUCGAACCGCACAAUGUUGAUGAUGCCAAUGAGGUGCCCUACAUGAAGAGCAAUGGAGUCGACCCUAAGAAAUAACAACCCUCACAGCAGAUGUAGCUCUAGUCUACAGUCUACAUGGUACAUAAAAGUAGCCUACAGAAGUGAAUGCUGUCUGAUAUUUCAAGAUGUGGAAAGGAAUGCAAGAGGAGGAGAGGAAGAGAGAGGGAGGGAAAAUGGAACAUGUGGCAGAAGUAGAGAUGCAUGAAGUGAGAAGAUGUAUGCCCGUUCCACAUUUAGCUUUCAAGUACUCACCACUAUGCUGCUCCCACUAAAUAAUUUAGUGGCAGAACAACAAUCCAUCAGCUCUGUGGAAGGUUAUUAUAAAUGCAUUACCUCCCCAAGCCUACCAGUUCAAUGGAGUCGUGCAGGGCCUCAUAAAUAUGGGUCAAUAAAGGCACACACAAAAGACUCAGGAUGAAUGAAAUAGGCUUUAUUGUUUUAGUGGGAACUUUCACCCUACCUGUGCGUAGAAGCUCUCAGAUCUGAGGCGGGUCUUUUCAAAUGAAGAGACACACGAACUGAAGACAGGUCUUCACCUUAAUGGCUACAAAUCGGUCUAGUUUGACAGGCAAACAUCCUAUAACCUAAACCCCAAAAUGGAUAUGUUACAGACAACAGCAGCAGCUCCAUCUCAGUCAUCUAGAAUUGAUGCAGCUGGCGCCAUUGUCUCUCCAGUGUUCAGAGACUGUGCAUUGCCAUGUGAAAAGCAUCUGGAAUUAAUAACAGGCCAGGGCAGGCCAGCACAACAAGAUUUUUUUUUUAAAUUUUUUAAUCUUCAAUCCC